GGUGCACCAUUAAAUUAUGGAAACCACUAUAAUGAAACUUCAGAUAUAUUUUGGGUAGUUUCAUUUUAUUUUUCACAAAAGGAAAUUUUAGGCUAAAGAGAAAGUCUUCUUUUGGUUUGUUAAGACGUGAUGUUUGACAGUUCAAGAGUUAAGUCUGGGCUUUCCAUGUUGUCAGAUAGUUUCAGAUCUCUUCUUUGACUCCAGCCAUUCCCCUCAUGUGGCCUUUGCAGGUGGCCGUCCUCAAGGGGGUUUCCUCUCAGUGAUGCAGCUGUGAGCUAAGUCCCACCAGGAGAACACGUUUCGAGAGCCACGAGGAGAGAAUCCUUUUGGGACUUCCAGAAAUUUGGGUCAUAGAGAGUACCGAGAAAUCUUCAGAUAGGUAAAGACAUUUUUCAGUAAAUGACUCCAGGACUGGAUGCCCAGUUGAAGAUAUCUCUGUGAUGUCAUGUCAGGAAAUAAACAACUCAGGUUCAGCUGUGUUGUUUAUAUAUUGGAUUCCUGGAGCUUACCUCAUGCCAACUAUUAGGACUUUGUCGUUACUUCAGAUCCCUCUCCAGUUAUUUUUGAACCUUGUCUCUUGCCUUGCCUGGGAGUGAAGGGCUCACCUGUGCCCCAUUUACCCCAUCCAUUUAUUUAACCAAUAUUUAUUUGCAUCUAUAAUAGAUUUAUUUGCAUCUAUAAUUGCCCUGGGACCAUGGCAGAGAUGAAAUGACAGUUUCUGCUCUCCCAAAUUCCCAGGAGAGACACGCAGGCAAUUCCGAGACCAGGAUAAUGGAGAUUUUGCCAAUGGAAGCAGAAAGAAAAGGAGGCCUUAGGCUUGUAUAGGGGGUACCCAGGGACGACUUCCCCAAAGAAAGCAGUUGUUAGCCCAAACUGAAAGUAAGUAGGAAUUUUCCAAGUGAGGGAAGGGUUGGAUGGUAGGAAAUUCCAGCCAAGGACAAACAGGCUGGCUUAACCAGGGAAGAGCAGUAAGCUGUUGGGCAUGGCUGUGGCUCAGUGCACAAGGGAAGAAUGGUAGAAGACUAAGCAGGAUGAGCACGCGGAAGCUUCUUUAUGCUCCAGUCAGAAUACGCAGCCCUCAGCUGACCUACCGCAUCAUCCCCUCCAGUUCCAUCCACGUCGAUGCAAAUGGUGGGUGUUCAUCCUUUCUGAUGGCAGCCAUUCUUUUGGACAUGAGUACUGCAAGUAGGCUCCAGGCCCAGCUUGGAGCCCAACGUGGGACUCAAGACCCUGAGAUCCAGACCUGAGCUGAGAUCAAGAGUCAGAUGCUUUACCGAUUGAGUCACCCAGGCACCCCUCUGCUGCUUUUAAAUACUUGUUUUAGAGUAAAGGAAUCCCAGAAUCUGGCUUGGGAGAGAUGUUACACGUCAUUUAGUCCAAACUCCCCAUUGAUGCCUGCAAAAGUCCUGUCAUGGGAUAUUUUCCCCCAUCUGUGUUUGUGCUUCUCUAGCGGUAUGAAACUCCUAAGGCAAUGUUUCCGUCACUGGGCUACUUUGAAAAUGAUAAAGUAUUUCCUUACACUAAGUUGCCAUCAGUCUCCCUGUCAGCCUCUGUAGCACGCAGAACAGAGCCGCCGUACGUGGGAGGGCGGUGCUCAUAUUCCCAUUUGGACUUGUCUACGAGAUCACUUGUUUACUGGAUUUUUCUCAGAUGAUAUAGUUUGAGGUCAGGUUUCCAUCCUGUUUCAUUUCUUCUGCACACGUUUGGGUUGACCUCUAUCCCUUAUAAUGAGGGAGAUCUAGGGCCUGAGACUGUGUCCUUGCUGGGAUCAGACCACGUGUCUGCCACCUUGUUGCUGCUGACUCAUGCUGAGAUUACCCCCACUCAUAUCCAGCCGUCUCUUUCCCCACAUUCCCGCCAUAAAACAUAUCCUCUUCGUCCUACACUAGUUCAGUUUUUAACUGACUUGCCAGAAUUUAUCUGGAUUCGGUUUCUUUCCAUGGCCCAACAUUAUCAGGGUAUUUUGAAUUCUAGUUCCAACACAAACAAGCCCUACUUGAAAGAAAACCAUCUUGUUUCACAAAUUUUAUUCCUUUUGCAUGAUGUCACUUAUUUUCAUCAUACAAAUAAUGUUUUGUAGCACAGAUGGAAAAUUGAGUAUGCAUUGUUUUUAAAGUUGUGUGAAAUGUUGGACAAUCUCCACUUACUUCAGUGAGUGGACUGCACGUAGGGAUCUAAGAGACGCUGUUUUCUGGCAGUUCCACCUGCAGGACUUUGGUACCUUGCCCGCAGCAAAAUGGUGAGUGGAGAAGAACUUGUGAUCUCAAAAGACAUGUGAAUUUCUUACAAGCGUUGCCAAUGUCCCACUCCGCUAUGUGGUUUCUCUAACUUUUCGACUAUUUGGAACAAAGGUGGAAAUGCAGUAUUGUCAAUCAGUGACACAAAAUGGUAAAGUUCAUCUAGUAGCUGAAUUGUCACUUUAUAUCAAGAGCAAAAUCCUUAAAAGGUAAUCCGAGAGUAGAUAACAAACCUUACCUAUAACAGAGGUUUAACCAUUGACAGAUGAAGCCGUUAUGAAGGCCACAGGGCAGGCAAGUGGUCAUGAACGUAGGUCCAAUUGAUUUUUCCAAAAUCUGUAAUAAAAAUUUGUAGUAACUUUAUUUUUUACUCUUGAAGGGACUGUAUCACAGAAAAAAAAACUCAUAUAAGGAGAUAUUUUUCUUUUCUGCAUGCUUUAUUAUUGUCAGCAACAUUUUAGAUAGACAAAUCUAAAAUAAAAGUGCAAAAAAUGGCACGAGGUUUCCAUUUUGUUAUGUAGACAUUGGUUCCAAUACUUUUUGAAAAUAUCAUAAAAUUGGAAAAUAUCUCAGGAGAAAAAUUCUCCUGAGAGAAAAAUCUCUGAGGAGAAAAAAUUAAAAGGAAAUUUGGUGGUGACUGUACUUUGAGUUAAGAUAAAGAUAAAAAUUACAGGUUGAAAGGACUAACAACCUAUAGUAACUUACAAAGUGAAGUAUUCUUGGUAAAAGUCACAAAAUUAAAACUGUUGAGCUCAUUGCUUUGUAAGGUCUUGUUUCUAUCACAAAAACUAUGUUUUUUGAGUUUUGUUGGGAUACAGAAAAGCAGUUGAUGUCUUUAAUAACUGAUAACUUUUAUAAGUUCCUAUUGCAAUUUUCCAGUUAGUUCUAUGGAGUUUUGUAGGCAGGCAAUUUACUGGUAAUCAAAAUUGGAUUUCUUCUUUAAUCAUAGUUCGUAAUCUCUUAUCCACAAUUCAUUUUGAAAAUGGCAAGUUUGUAAGUUUGAAACUAAAGCCUGACUGGCAGGGAUGUAAGGCAGCCUGUAGUUUCUAUUUUAUGUUAAUAUUCAUACAUUUUAAUAUAAAAAUAUUUUGAUUAUAGAAAUCUGCAUCUGCUUCUGUUAUUACCUGGUACAUAGUAAAUUAACUUUUCUAAAAUAUGAAAACUUCUAAAUUCUGGCACAACCCAACCCAGAGUCAAAAAGAAAUGUGGACUAUAUCUCUUUUUCUUUUACUUUUCUUAUUGAGUUGGCUGGCAUUUUCAGUGUUGGGUAAGGGAUAACUUGUAUUUUUUUAAUUGUUUUUGAUCUUAAUGAAAAUGUAAUGAUCUACUUUCUUACAACUGAGUAUGAUAAUGGCUAAAAUCAAGAUAGAUUUUCCUUAUCAUAACAGGAAAAAUACCUUCCUUAAGUUAGUUUGCUAAAAGAGGUGGACUUUUUCCUUCAAAUGUAUAUUUUGUAUUUACUGAGAUGAUUAUAUUAAGACUAACAUAUGCUUUUUGCUAGUCCACUGGUCCAAAGAAGAUAAGGGACAUGACAGUGAGCUCUAGCUGAGGCUAGCCCAGGUCAGCCAACUUUCAGCCAUCCCACUGACAUAAAAACAAGCUUAUUACUGCACGCUGCUGAAAUUUUAUAAUGGUCUAUUAUUCAGCAUUAUUGUAGGAAUGGUUGGCUGAUGCAAAUAUAUUAUUGACUAAUUAUAGUGAUUGAAUUUCUGGGAUGAAACUAUUUUACAUUCUUGAAAUAAACCUGAAAUUCCUGAAAUAAUAAAUGUUUAUUAUUAUUUUAACCUAAGUCUGAAUUCUAUCUGUUUAAUUGUUCAUUUAGAACCUGUGUCUGCUUUCAUUUGCUAUAUUGGUCAUUUUAUCUCCCUUGAAGUUAUCAUAAAAUGUGUUGGGAUAUCCCCCCAUCCUUAACCCCCAAUAAACAACAGUGCGUUCCAAAUGCUGAUCCAUAGAAAAGGUCUCAGAAGUCCCUGGUAUGAGAUAAAUAAGGAAAAUAUAAUGUGUUUAAAAACCUAAUUUGAUUUAAUUUAAAGGAUAGUCCUUAAUCCUGAGAUUAUGUAUUUCUUACGUUCUCAGAGUUAGAGGGUUUUUUUUUAAUUGAAGUGUAGUUGACAUACAAUAUUAUAUUAUCAAUGAUAGAAUUUAUUCUCUUGCAAAAGGACUGUGAUGACAAGUGCUAAUAAAAAAGAAUGUUUUUGCUACGAAAAAUAGAAAGCUGGUAAUUCCAUGUUGGUCUCUCCAAAUUUUCCUUUAGCUUUCAUGGUUUGUGAAAUCCAAAAGUUUGAAAAUCAUCUCUAGAACAAUUUGCACAGCGUGUGGUAACUAUGAACUUGUUUGUGUCUUGGGAAUUGGAUUAUUCUGAAGCAAUGUUUAACAGUGUUUGAGGACAAGGGCUUUGAGCCAUAUGACUUCCAGCUGUUACUCAUCUAUCCCAAGAAUAAUUUGCCUCAGUUGUAGAAUAUGGC
ensembl:lincRNA